AGCAGUCGCCGCGGGAAUACGAAGGGUGCAAGCGUUAAUCGGAAUUACUGGGCGUAAAGCGUGCGUAGGCGGUUUGUUAAGUCUGUUGUGAAAUCCCCGGGCUCAACCUGGGAAUGGCAAUGGAUACUGGCAAGCUAGAGUGUGUCAGAGGAUGGUGGAAUUCCCGGUGUAGCGGUGAAAUGCGUAGAGAUCGGGAGGAACAUCAGUGGCGAAGGCGGCCAUCUGGGACAACACUGACGCUGAGGCACGAAAGCGUGGGGAGCAAACAGGAUUAGAUACCCGAGUAGUCCCUGUCUCUUAUAA
rnacentral:rRNA from 1 species